AAUACGUUCCCGGACCUUGUACACACCGCCUGUCAAGCCAUGGAAGCUGGGUGUACCUAAAGUCGAUAACCGCAAGGAGUCGCCUAGGGUAAAACUAGUAACUGGGGCU
rnacentral:rRNA from 1 species